GAUGAACGCUGGCGGCGUGCCUAAUACAUGCAAGUCGAGCGAACGGACGAGAAGCUUGCUUCUCUGAUGUUAGCGGCGGACGGGUGAGUAACACGUGGAUAACCUACCUAUAAGACUGGGAUAACUUCGGGAAACCGGAGCUAAUACCGGAUAAUAUUUUGAACCGCAUGGUUCAAAAGUGAAAGACGGUCUUGCUGUCACUUAUAGAUGGAUCCGCGCUGCAUUAGCUAGUUGGUAAGGUAACGGCUUACCAAGGCAACGAUGCAUAGCCGACCUGAGAGGGUGAUCGGCCACACGGGAACUGAGACAGGCUCCAGACUCCUACGGGAGGCAGCAGGGGGGAAUCUUGCGCAAGGGGGGAAAGCCGGAGGCAGCAAUGCCGCGUGAAGGAAGAAGGUCUUCGGAUGGUAAAGUUCUUUUAUCGGGGAAGAACAGAUUUAAAUGAAUCUCUUCACACAUUGACGGUACCUAAAAAAAAAGCACCGGCUAACUACGUG
rnacentral:rRNA from 1 species